rnacentral:rRNA from 1 species
AACGAACGCUGGCGGCAUGCCUAACACAUGCAAGUCGAACGAGACCUUCGUGUCUAUUGGCGCACGUGUGCGUAACGCGUGGGAACCUGCCCUUAGGUUCGGAAUAACUCCCCUAAAGGGGUGCUAAUACCGGAUAAUGUCUUCGGACCAAAGAUUUCUCGCCUUUGGAUGGGCCCGCGUUGGAUUAGCUAGUUGGUAGGGUAAAAGCCUACCAAGGCGACGAUCCAUAGCUGGUCUGAGAGGAUGAUCAGCCACACUGGGACUGCGACACGGCCCAGACUCCUACGGGAGGCAGCAGUGGGGAAUAUUGGACAAUGGGCGAAAGCCUGAUCCAGCAAUGCCGCGUGAGUGAUGAAGGCCUUAGGGUUGUAAAGCUCUUUUACCCGGGAUGAUAAUGACAGUACCGGGAGAAUAAGCUCCGGCUAACUCCGUG